rnacentral:rRNA from 1 species
CGGACGGGUGAGUAAUGUCUGGGAAACUGCCUGAUGGAGGGGGAUAACUACUGGAAACGGUAGCUAAUACCGCAUAACGUCGCAAGACAAAGAGGGGGACCUUCGGGCCUCUUGCCAUCGGAUGUGCCCAGAUGGGAUUAGCUAGUAGGUGGGGUAACGGCUCACCUAGGCGACGAUCCCUAGCUGGUCUGAGAGGAUGACCAGCCACACUGGAACUGAGACACGGUCCAG